rnacentral:rRNA from 1 species
GAAUUCACUAGUGAUUCAGGCCUAACACAUGCAAGUCGAGCGAAUGAUGAAGAAGCUUGCUUCUUCUGAUUUAGCGGCGGACGGGUGAGUAACACGUGGGCAACCUGCCCUGUAGAUUGGGAUAACUCCGGGAAACCGGGGCUAAUACCGAAUAAUCCAUUUCCUCUCAUGGGGAAAUGUUAAAAGACGGUUUCGGCUGUCACUACAGGAUGGGCCCGCGGCGCAUUAGCUAGUUGGUGAGGUAACGGCUCAUCAAGGCGACGAUGCGUAGCCGACCUGAGAGGGUGAUCGGCCACACUGGGACUGAGACACGGCCCAGACUCCUACGGGAGGCAGCAGUAGGGAAUCUUCCACAAUGGACGAAAGUCUGAUGGAGCAAAGCCGCGUGAGUGAAGAAGGUUUUCGGAUCGUAAAACUCAGGGUGAGGGAAGAACAAGUACGAGAGUAACUGCUC